UUCUGGAUUAAUUGGAUUUCUUUUCUGCUUCUUUUCCCUUUUUUCUUUUCUGCUAGGUACUUCUAAUUUGGGGGGUUAUGUAAAGGGAAAUUUGAUUUUCUAUACUUAGAAAAUCAAAAAAUUUGAUUUCUAAACCAAUAAUUUAAACCAUAAAAAAACUAUACCUUUAUUUUUCAAAACCCCAAAAAUACCCCCAAACUAAAACUAUCUCUCUUUCUCUCUCUAUCUAGCCGGUCCCAAGAAUCCCACACCCCAGGUCCGACCAUCGGACCUCUCUCUUCCCCUCUCUCUCAAAUCGCGGGAAAAAAAAAAAAAAAAAAAUUAAAAGCCGGUCGG